UACGUAGGGUGCAAGCGUUGUCCGGAAUUAUUGGGCGUAAAGAGCUCGUAGGCGGCUUGUCGCGUCGGCUGUGAAAACCUGGGGCUCAACCCCGGGCCUGCAGCCGAUACGGGCAAGCUAGAAUUCGGUAGGGGAGACUGGAAUUCCUGGUGUAGCGGUGAAAUGCGCAGAUAUCAGGAGGAACACCGGUGGCGAAGGCGGCCAGCUAGACCAGUUCUGACACUGAGGCGCGACAGCGUGGGGAGCAAACAGG
rnacentral:rRNA from 1 species